UGGGGAAUAUUGCACAAUGGGCGCAAGCCUGAUGCAUCCAUGCCGCGUGUGUGAAGAAGGCCUUCGGGUUGUAAAGCACUUUCAGCGAGGAGGAAGGUGGUGAACUUAAUACGUUCAUCAAUUGACGUUACUCGCAGAAGAAGCACCGGCUAACUCCGUGCCAGCAGCCGCGGUAAUACGGAGGGUGCAAGCGUUAAUCGGAAUUACUGGGCGUAAAGCGCACGCAGGCGGUUUGUUAAGUCAGAUGUGAAAUCCCCGGGCUCAACCUGGGAACUGCAUUUGAAACUGGCAAGCUAGAGUCUCGUAGAGGGGGUGAGAAUUCCAGGUGUAGCGGUGAAAUGCGUAGAGAUCUGGAGGAAUACCGGUGGCGAAGGCGGCCCCCUGGANGAAGACUGACGCUCAGGUGCGAAAAGCGUGGGGAGCAAAACAGAUUAGNUACCCCUGGUAGUCACGCUGUAAAACGAUGUCGAUUUUGGAGGUUGUGCCCUUGAGGCGUGGNUUCCGGAGCUAACGNGUUAAAUGA
rnacentral:rRNA from 1 species